UUAAGUUCAGCGGGUAGUCCUACCUGAUCCGAGGUCGAUUUCAAAAAUAGGGGGCGUUGUCCGGCUAACGUACGACCGACCACUCCGGGGCGACAGCUAAAUGUCACUACGCCAGGGAGUCCGGCUACGUCGCCGCUGCAUUUCGGGGCGCCCAGCGGGACGGCCUCCAAUACCAAGCAGAGCUUGAGGGUGCAAAUGAC
rnacentral:misc_RNA from 1 species